rnacentral:rRNA from 1 species
UACAGAGGUGCCAAGCGUUAGGCGGAAUCACUGGGCUUAAAGCGCGUGUAGGUGGGUCGUUAAGUGUCCGCGUGAAAUCCCACGGCUCAACCGUGGAACUGCCGGGCAUACUGGCGAUCUUGAGGCAUUCAGGGGCGAGCGGAACAAGUAGUGGAGCGGUGAAAUGCGUAGAUAUCACUUGGAACGCCAAUGGUGAAAACAGCUCGCUGGGAAUGAUCUGACACUGAGACGCGAAAGCCAGGGGAGCGAACGGG